GCGGGAUUAGUACACCGGUAGUACACGUCCUUCCCAAGGAUGAAAAGCGGGUUCGACUCCCGUAUCCCGCU
rnacentral:tRNA from 1 species